rnacentral:lncRNA from 1 species
UUUUUUCUUUUCCCUUAGAUGAUGGUUUUAUCCUUGCCUUUGUCCUUUAUCUUUAUCCUUACACCUUUGGGCGUUACUCCCUUAUUAUUUUCGUCUUAUUAUUGAUCACUUAUGACUUAUUGCUCUUAUCACUAUUGCUUUACUAUUAUUUUCAUCCUUAUCAUCAUCUUGACGGAGGGAGGAGGGCACAUGGAGCUCCCGACCCUUUAUCAUUUUCAUUAUCCCUGUGAUCGAUUUUGGUAAAAAAAACUGUAAACGAAAAUAACGACAAUAAUAAGAAGAAAAUGAGAGAAUAAGUAAGAACGAUAGAACGGAACAAGGAUAAUAAGGCAUAAGCAAUCAAAGGGCAAAAUUUCUCAAAAUUAACGGCAAAAUUAUUUUUUAGAAAAAAAUAUUUUUAUGAGAUUUUAAAAAAAAAUAUGGUAAUCUAUAAUUUCUCAAAAUAAGAAAGUGUUGAUUAACUGAAAAUAAUGAAGUUCUGGUUGAGGUUCUUAGAACAUUCAACUUUGGUUAGAAGAGAACAUCUUCUCAUGUUUCUACCUUAAGAAAAGCUUCUUGAUCUCGUUGCUAUGUAUACGUUCCCAUUUUUUGCUACAAGUAUGGCACAGCAGAUCCUUCAGUCCCUCAACCUACAAACCCUAGAAGCCAAUCUAGAACAGACAAGUCCAUGUGACAAAUCCUUCGUUCCCAAACCCUACAUGACAGGGAGUCAACAUAACAUAUAUGGCCACUUCACCAGCAUCGUGAUAUUUCUGCUUCUACCACAUUCCACCCUCUUCCUUCUUUCUGAUUCCCCCACCGUAGCGUACAUGUCACUCUCCCUCUCUUCUUCUCUAGGAGGAGUAAGUAUCGUUUGCACGCCACAGUCAUCAGACACACAAGACGAUGGUUACUUGCAGCAAUGGUGAGAGAUAAAUCUUAGCUGGCUUGUCCAUGGAGAACAAGGUAAUGCCGACAGUGAGUGCCUGGCACUGCUGGUGUUACAGUGCGCAGAUUAAGGUGAGUGCAUGCAACGCACGACGCGGGGAGCCAUGGCUGUGUAGCCACAGCCAGAAGGUCAAACCUAUGCAUUGCGAAGUAGAGUAGCUACUACAACAGCGUGCAUGCAUGGGUUGGGGAAGAGAGAGAGGAGGGCGGCUCUGCUGCUCCCAUCCCUGUGAUGAAUUGGAGCUUGGAGGCUUGUGGUUGUUUUACAUGGAUUGAGAAGGGGACCCCCACACCACCUCCGGCGUUGGGAAACGCAAAGAGAAGGACGAUAGCAGCAUGCCCUUCACCCCAUGCAAACCCCCAUAACCUUCACACUGAGACAACUCGACAGCUAAUCAGAAUGUUCAUAUGGACUGCUGGAACAGAUCUAAUCUUCUGCUUUAACUCUCGCUCUCUCUCUUGUUAUGAUUUCAUGAACGGAUCAGUCGAAGCUUUCAUCACUACUAUACUCCAAUUCUAUCUAUAAAUAUCCACACUGCUCCUACGGUUGCCUUGUGAGUACUUGUCUGAGGUAGAAGAAGAGAUGGAAGAAGAUCACAGCAGUAGCAGUCAUGUACAUAAUAGAAACCGCAGCAGCACUGCUGGUAGUGGCAAGAGGGGAAGGGCGACCAAGGACGGCGCGCGGUACCGCGGGGUUCGGUGCCGGCCCUGGGGGCGGUACGCCGCGGAGAUCCGCGACCCGCAGUCGAAGGAGCGGCGAUGGCUCGGCACCUUCGACACCGCCGAGCAGGCCGCCUACGCCUACGACGUCGCCGCCCGCGCGAUGCGGGGGCCCAAGGCACGAACGAACUUCUACUAUCCUCCGACCACCGCCGCGCGACCACGGGCCGCCGCGGUUGGUUGUGUACUCCGCUGCCCCGACGUUCCCCACCUGCACUCGCCCAUCGACCCUCUUCUCCUUCGCAGCCUCAUCAGCCACUCUUCGUCUUCUAUGCACCACAAACCACCGUGUUGUCCUUAUCGUUCUUCUCUCUCGAGCUGCUCUGCUCCUCCUCCUCCUGUGACCGACCCUCCUACUUGUGGCGCCGCUGGUCUUUGUGGAAUUGCCUCCCAUCCUGAUUCCAUUAAUGCGUCCUUUACGGCUGCUUCUUCGUCAGACCAGUCCAUACUGGUUCAGUCUUCUUCCGUGGCGGAAGUCCCCAACCAAUUCGCCGACGACUGCGACUUCUUCCGCAAAGAGCCACCCGAAUCCGGGCUCCUGCAGGAGAUCGUAAAUGGCUUCAACUCUCACCAACAAAGCAUGCAUAACAGGAGCCAUCAGAUGCCAUCGAAGCAAGAGGAGAAGAUGUUUGAUUCCGAUACCUUCCCGACGGUCCCUCAGGGCCUCUUGGAGGACGUCUUCGGUGUGUUCUCUGCUAAGUUACACAAAGCUGCUUAAAGGUGUGCUCAUGCAGCGCCGUCAUGCCAUCGGUUUCAGCCUUGAGAUGCUGAUUUCUCUCAAGACUCGUUUUGCUUUGAAGUGUUGGAUUGGGUUUAGUUUGAGCCAUUUGCUGACAAUGAACAAUUCAAGAAUGCCCAAAUCUCAUGGUUUAGAUCAGCAAAGUAGAUUAAGAAUAAUUAGAACAGAGAAAUAAAGAGUGUCACAAUAUAUCGAUUGAUGUCAGAUGUUAGAACUCAUCAACCUCCGACCUCUUCAUGCAUUAAACUUCGUGACGUGUGAUCAAUUCAAACUUGUAGAUUGCAUCUUCUGUGUUACAUUCUGAAUGAUGAUGAUUAAUUAUAUCAAACAGGACAUCAACUCAAUCCAAAUGUUUAACUCAGACUCCUCCUAUCCUUAAUAAUAUAAGAAUAUUUUCUUGGUAAAUAAGAGAAGAUACUGAAAAUAUUAUGUGUGUGAGAUGAAAAAAGAUGAACUAAAAUAUUAGUCUCAUAUGACUAUCAUUUUUUCCCUCAUGGAUUUUCUUUGCCUAAUUCAUACAUGAGAUGUUUUCUUUUUUUGAUGUGGUAAAGUUUGAUUAGCUUCUUCUUUUGUUUUGAGAAUAAUUUAGCUGUUGAAGUUUAACCCAAAUCCUUUGAUUGCAGAAUUGCCAGUUUUUGAUUGUUAUAGAACCAUCUUCACAGUUUGAUUUCAUGUUAAUUACUACUUAAGCCAAUAGAUGAGAGAAUUAUUAUUGAUACAUCAUCACACAUAUAUAUACACACAUUCAUCAAUGAAGUUGAUGAUUGACAAAUGAAGAUUUAUGAAAGACAAGUGGAAAAGCUUUCUUAAGAAAAUAAAAAUACUUGAUAUUUACAAAAGGUAAAAAAUAUAGUGAAACCCCAAACUGAAUUAAUCAAUGUUUGGGUUAAUAAUCAUAAAAAAUCAAAGAAAAUUUGGUUUCCACAACACCAAACAAAAUCAAACAUACUGCUCCUUAGAAUUUUAAGAAAGACUUGUACUUGUUUUGCUAAGGUGUCAAUCACAAGCCUUAUUGUUGAUUUCUUAGUCUAAAUAAGGAUCAAAAAUCUUAAAUUAAAAUCAAUUAGAGGAUAUAUCUGAACAAUAGAAAGUUAUGAAAAGCUAGCUUCUUCCCAUUUGUAUGUAGAUGUUCUUGAAUUAUUUUUUAAUAUAUUGUUAUUAGAGAAUAAUUCAAUUUGAUUUUAGAUCAUCUCAUGUGGAAAUAUCAUACUGACUAAGUAAUAUUUUUUCCAACUACAUUAGGAUUUGAUUUGAUAAGUGAUAUGGGAAUUAUAAAUGAUAUCUAAAUUAGUCCAACUCGAUUCAAAGUUACACGUGCAAAAGGCUUAUUGUCAAUAUACUAACUUGCAUAAAGACCGAGGUUGAUUAGAAUGUUCGACAGAUCCCUUCGAUACUAAAAUUAGUUGAGUUAAAAAGUAGAAUCAUAAAUAAAUAAUAACUAAUAAGAUAUUCCUUCCUUAAUUAUUUAUCCUAGUUUAGGUGCUUGUUGGCAUGAUCAAGGGUAAAUAUCUUCCCGAUCAAUAAGAGAUUAUGUAUUUAAGAAUUUUCUUUCUUUUAGAUUGUUCUAUGAUGCAACACAAAACUCAUGAGAAAUGAGAAAGAGAAAUGAAUAACAAAGAGAACCUCAAAUUAGGGAUAAAUCAAACAAUCUAAUAUUAGCCAUAUAAUUAUAACUAUUAAUGACAAUGAUAGGAUGUUCAUAUUUGGAGGGAUAUAUAAUAAUAUAUUAAAAUUUAAAAUGGCAAAUAUACUAUUCCCAAAGUGUGAAAGGACAUAUAUGUAAGCAUCCCUUCUUCACUCUUUCCAUCUACAACACAAGCAGUGGGAGAUGAAGCAUACUCCAUUUCUUGUGAUGAGGUAUUGCCCUGUGAAGGUCAUUUAGGCUUUUCUCUAUAGCAUUGACCUCAUGCAUGUCAUAAGUAAUGUCCAUCGCAUGUAUAUAUAUAUAUAUAUAUAUAUAUAUAUAUAUAUAUAUAUAGCCAUGCAGAUUCUACUGCACAGAAAGCCACCCUAAUUGGCUCCAUUUGAACUGUGGCCUCAUGGAAGGGUGAGAGCUAAAGUUGCACGGCUUUGAGGGUGCCAUUACCUUUUUACAGCACCAAAACCUGCCCUUUCCUUUGCCGAGACAGCCCCACCAUUGCCUCUCACCACCGCCAUCACUCUCUUCCUUCUCGCCAAAGGCAAAAAAGAGUCGCAUGCAUGCGUGCCCUUUUGAUAAUAAAGCUCUCUGUGAGAACGCCUGCAAAGCAAUGCUCGGAGUGGUAUUGCAUUAGGAUAAAAGCUGAGAGACCACCAGCCUCCUCUUUUCCUUCUCUCUUCCUCUCCUCACCUCCCUCGCAACUAUAUAUACAUGCAUAUGAUCCUUCUGCGUCGCCAUGGCUGCUUGUGCUGGCUUUGCUUCCGCGGCAGGAGGAGUCGUCGUGCUUGUCAUCGAUAAAGGUGGAGGUUCUGUGACCUAAGUUUGGGCAACGCUGCUUCUUCUGAUGUGUGGGGGAAUCAAGCACACUGGUCCGAUGGUUUUCAUUACUGUUUCCUCUUCUUCUUUUUGGAGUAGUUAUCUACUUGAGUUAGUCUUGUAAUGUCGACUACAUAUAAGGAGUAGACAAUGGUGAUUGCCUUGGUUUCUGCUUCAGUGACAGCAUAAUGAAUCUUUGAUGAAUCAUUGUUCAUUCUCUUCUGCCACACAGUUUUGUAGAGAUUGGUAGCUGGCAGCAUCAUCUAUCUAUCACUUGGAAAGAAGAUAUAUUGUGGAGUUCUUAGCUCCAUGCAUGUAUCAUCUUAUUCUCAUCUGAAUGAUGCGUAGAUAAAUCUCCACAGGCUGAAGCAUUAGUCUUAUGGUUGAGUUUGCAUAAGAAUCAAGCAAGAGUUGAACACCUGAAACCAAAGGAUGGAAAGCAGUAGGACAAGAGUUGUAUCCAAUCAUUGAGACAUUGAAGUAGUAGGACUGAGAAGCUGAGAGAACAUACAAUUUUUGAGAUAUUUUUCCUGUUUCUCUCUCCAACAAUGUCAAGUUUGCUGCCAGUGAUCAUGCAUGCUUUCUACUAAUUGGAGUUCCAACCAUGGCAACAGAUUUAUCUUCUAUUACUUUAUUCUUCUAGCCAUCUUGAAGCCUGGGAAACCUGAUGCUUCUGAUGUUUCUUGGAUUGAAUCCAUCUUCCUUCUUUGUGAUGAUAUAUCAAAUAUUUAUAAUAAUUGGAUGAUUGUCUGUUAAAGUAGUAAUCUUCUUUUUGCAUUUUUGAUAGAAAUGUACAUAUUAACCUUUGAUGUUCACCUGAUUGGAAGAUGAGUAUGCUGCGAACAAGACUUGUUCUUGUUCUUUGUUGAGUUCAUACGGCUGGAAUACGAGCUCUAGUAUGGAUUGCAGUGUCUAAAUUCCAGCUGAGACCCAUAACUAUGAGAUCAUUACUCAAAAGACUACUUUCUGCAAGAACUAGCAGCCUACUUAGCAACCUGGUGAUCAAAUUCUGCAAGCAAAGAUCAUCAUGCAGAGUAUGAUUUCUUCAAAAGAACAACCUUUAGUUUUGUUUCUGCAAGUAGGCCGGCAACUCUCUUUACUGUGAAGAUAGUUGGGGACAUGAAUGCUUGAAAGGCAAGAACACCCUUCUCUCUCUCUCUCUCUCUCUCUCUCUCACAAUGGCAAGAAGUACACCGAGGAGCACAGGCACAAACUUUAGUAUUUUUAUCACAUGCUACUCGGAGGGACCAACCUAGUCCGGCCACUGUCUUCCUCCUCAUCCUCCCCGCCUUCGCUUUUGCCAGGCAGCAACUGAUGCAGUGACUCUUCACCAUUGACGUUGGACGAGAGGAAUUGAUGGUGGACCGGAAGCCAAAGGGGCCAUCAAAGUGCAUGCCAUCACUCCUCUCUCUCUCUCUCUCUCUUCUGUCAGUUGUAUGAUUAAUGCUUCAGAACAGUUUGAACCGGCCAGGACUGAUCAUGCCUGCCUCCCUCGAUUCAUCAAGAACAGUUUGCUGGGUAUAAUGCGACAGCAAGCGCACUCGUAGGAUGCAUGCCGAGGUCAAGCCACUGCAAGCUAACAUCAACGCAUAGAAUACUUUGAAUGCAUGCAUGCAGAGGCUUUAGAGCCAGCAAACGCACUAUGUUCUCACAACAUAGUAGAUUCCUUUAUGACAAGAGAAAAACUUCCGAUCUCGUAAUAUCCGAUCCUUCAAUUCGAUGUUUAAAUUCUUAGCAUAAGCCUUUUGAUCGAUUCUCUGGCCUAACGUCCAAUCUUUUGAUAUGUUUAUUCCGGCUCAACGUCCGAUUUCUCAUGUUUUAAUCUAUUUAUUUUUUUUGAUCGAAGUUAGUCCUACGUCACUUAAACGCACAUUAGAUGACAAACAUAUCAAUUAAUUUCAUCAUCAAAAUUCAAGAUUCAACAUCUAAUAUCCCAGAGAUCGUAUAUCGGGCAUGGUGCUGUCAGACCCAUAAGAUUUCUAUAUAAGUCUCGCUCUAAUCGUAUUCUCCCAGAGAACUCUUUUUCUCUCAAUCUGAAUGACCAUGACCAGAGAUUUACUGAAGCAACAUAUCUAUAUCUUCAAAUGCAUGAGUAUAAUUCCAUGACGUUCGAAACCAUUAUAAUAGAACUGUAGAAAGAAAGAGCGUUGUUGUUAGAGGUUGACAAAACUCUCAUAAUUUUUUUCUUUUUGACUGCUAUUACGACACACAUUUUGUGUUACGAGAAUUUGAAUGGUUUGAUAAUGUAAGAAAUAAUAUGAUUUUAUUUCAUCAUCUUUCUUUAAUCUGUCAAACCUUUGUCAGAUUAGAGUUAGGGCGGAUCGAGCCAUCAAUAGAGUGAUCAUCACGUUGGCUUGGCUCUAUUCGUGUGUAGCCUUCACAAUGAUUUGAACUCAAUCGAUUGUGAACCCGCGCGCAGCAACCUCUUGAAUCACAUCUUGAUUGCACGAAUUUUGUGGACCACGCGGCGUUCUCUUAAGGUAAAACGCGGGUGAUCUGGGGAACCACGUCAACAAUUAGGGCGCCUCACCCACCUGUGGAGUAGCAUUCUGUCGGCAUUCCCACUGUGUCCGCCGGAGAUUGGAAAGGGGGCGGCGUCUUCCCUCCUCGUCGCAGACGAAGGAUGCUGCAGUUCCCGGCGUUCAUGCGGCAGCUCCCGUCGCCGCCGCUGAUCCCUACCUCCACCCUGCUUCCCGUCGCUGCCCACGCCCAAAGCGACGAGGACUCCCUCGCCGUCUUGGAGUCCGAGCUCGAAGAGAAGGUACGGCUAUUCAUCCCCUUGCCUUUCUCCGACCCUCUACUCGCUCGCCGUGGUCCUCUCAUGCUUCUCUUAACUAGGGUUUCUUAUGUGGACUCUGAAUAAAAAAAAGGAGGAAUCAUGUGAAGCGUAUAACUUGGUUAUCUCGAUUGAUUCUUUCCUCCUGCGAAAUGGGAUAUCAUGCACCUUCUUCGUGACUUUGUAUUUACUGCGCUCGAUGGAUGUUUAAGAUGUGGAUAGAAUCACAAGCCGUGAUUACGGCUUUUGUUUGAGAGUCAUGUUCUUGUGUGGUUGUGAAAAGAUCGGAGAAGCCGAUAUGAUCAUCGAUAGAUCCUAUUUUGACCGGAGGAGUCAGAUUUGGAGAUGUAAUUACACUUGAUAAUGGGUUAUUAUCCGUCAGACUUGUUAUCUGGAAUAAAGCAAGAGUUAUCUCUGGAAAUUAAAUUGAGAAAAAAGAAUAAUAUGCUAAAUUUGUACUACCUUCUUUAUGAAUUUGAAAUCCCUGCUUGAUUAUAUUAGCUUUGUAGCUUUUUGAAGAUAGAGAAAGCAAUGGCAUUUAAAGCCAAAUAAGAAGCAUCAAACAAGUUUUGAUUUAGAGGUGGACUAAGCAAUUGAGGAAUCCAUCCAAAGCCACAUAAAAGAUUUUACACCUCGUCAUCCUAGUAGUGGAGAAUGAGGCAGUGCUGAUGGGUUAAAGUGAAAUGUGAAAUUUGUGUAGUUGAUUUACUGACCAAAACCUUUGGCUGGUCCUUGUAUCCAAGGAAACUUUUUCUAUCCCAGGUUGUGAAUGGAUGAAUUGUCUAGGGUUUUAAAUCUCAUGGACAACCCAAUCCAUCACCAGCCUUAAAUGGAUAAUUGUUCUUAUGUGAGUCCUUUUUCAUUCCAAACACAGGGUCCGUACUCUACCUUUGUUCUAGAGUACAAAUCAGUUCAUGUAUUUUUUUUCCUUGAUAAUAUCUCUAAAAUAUAAUUUUGAUACUUGGUUAUUUAAAAGACAAUAACCAUAUUUGGAUUUUUUUUAUUUUAAACAUACAGAGGAAAAAAGCUGCAUUGCAGACAGUGAGGUUGAAUUCCUGUAGCCAAAAACUACAUACUAUAAUCCAAGGGGUAUGGUUAUAUACAGAAAAAAUUCCUAAUUCUUUAAAUUAUUUUCUGAGAAAUCUAAAAACCAUGACAUAUUUGCUAAUUGAUAAAUAAAACUAAAUCCAUCCCUAGAUCUUGGAGCUAAUUAGUUGAUCAGGCUGAGGGGCCUUUUUGUUUGUUUAUAGAAAUAUCUGUCCAUUUUUCUUAAUUUGUAAGCUAUUUCGAUUGGGACAGCAAUGUGACUUUGAGAGAUCAAACUGGAGAAAUACUUGUUAGGUGUGUUUGUUCUAUCAAUAUGUUUGAGUAUGCAGUUAUAGCCAUAUGUUAUUUGGAACUUCUACCACCUGCAUAAGGCUACUUUUUAAAACAUUAAUUGAAGAUAUAGUAGUAAGUAGACUGAAGAAAUCAUCUUCAGAAAGAAAAAAGUUCUAACUGGAGAAAUACUUGUUAGGUGUGUUUGUUCUAUCAAUAUGUUUGAGUAUGCAGUUAUAGCCAUAUGUUAUUUGGAACUUCUACCACCUGCAUAUGGCUACUUUUUAAAACAUUAAUUGAAGAUAUAGUAGUAAGUAGACUGAAGAAAUCAUCUUCAGAAAGAAAAAAGUUCUAACUGGAGAAAUACUUGUUAGGUGUGUUUGUUUUAUCAAUAUGUUUGAGUAUGCAGUUAUAGCCAUAUGUUAUUUGGAACUUCUACCACCUGCAUACGGCUACUUUUUAAAACAUUAAUUGAAGAUAUAGUAGUAAGUAGACUGAAGAAAUCAUCUUCAGAAAGAAAAAAGUUCUACAUAUACUGGAAAUAUUAGUCAUUGGGAGCGUAAAGCAUUUGUCAAGUGUUCUGAGUACUAUAUGCUUGUUGUGUGCCCAUUAGAUUAAAAAAAUUCUUUACAAGAUAGUUACAAGUUUGGCUACACUUAUUAAUAUAGUCGCCACCAUCUCCUUCUUCCCAUCACAUCGCCAAGGUUGCCACCUCCCCAUCAUGUUGCCAUGGCUGCUAUCCCCCAUUGCAUUGCCAUGGCUGCCUCCCAGUUUCAUCGCCGUCACCACCUCCUUCACCUCUAUGCUUUUUAUUCCCCUGCCUUCUCCACCUCCUCUUCCUCCUUCACCUUAUCGUCUUCCUCCUCUCCCAUCUCCUCAUCAGCAUGGGGACCGGGUUUAAGGUCACUGAACUGACCAGCAUGAUAAUUGUUGAACUGGUAGUUGUGGGCAUAAGAAAACUGGAUUUGGAUUUGGAUUUGGAAUUGGUCAACUAAUACCAUUAUAUGGUACAUCAGUAUAUGAUUGUUGGUUAGAAGAUAAUGUUUUAUUAUUUUCUUUCCCAUCUGAGUUCCUCGUGUUUUUUAAUAUUUGAGCAGUUUGUUUUUGUAAUUUUUUUGGCUAAAAGUAAAAAAUUCGAUUACUUAGAAAGUCUAGUACAAAAUUCUCCUCGGAUAUCCAAGCAUAUUAAGUCAAAACAAUCUGAGGGCCACUCUCCCCUCGAAAGAAAGGUGGUUUCUGAAAGUCUAGAAAGAUUGGCCAACCAAUUGACCUCCCGAUUGCCCUCCCUAUAAACAUGUGUAAUAUCACAUUCUUCAAAUUUCUCCAACAAAGGACUUGAUAUCAACAAUGGCAUUCUGAAGAACCCAAGGUAUAGUUGAGUUUUGUUGAAUCAAUUGUAUGAUGCAUUCAGAAUCUGAUUCUAUAAUGAUAUGUCUGAUGACAUCUAGUGAAUCCUUCUUCAGACCUUCGAUUCCGUUAAGAGGCCAUCACAAUUUAUUUUAAACUAUCCUAAACAAGGUUUUAUCCAUUGAAUUUUUAUAUGACUUUUCUCUUGAGUAGGCUCAUUAGGUUUAUGGGCUUCAUCAUUAUCUAUGACACAUGCAAUGAUUUUAUGUAAAAGACGAGUUGGGUUCAUUGGAUUAGUGUGAUUAUAGAGGAUCUCAUUCAUGAUUUUCCAUAACCACCAUAAACUUGUGGCAAUAAUAGAUUGUAAGGUGCUGGCAGCAUGCAUAUGUAGGUUUGCACCUUCAUAUAACUACUGACCUUCAUGCUGGUUUUCAAAAAAGAGGAAAUGAAUGGCCAUGUAUUGUUGAAGAAUUAGCCAAAGAGAAAAGAAAACGUACAUGAAAGAAACAAUAUAGUAUAGCUUCCGGGGUAGAUUCACAAAGAGAACAAAGGAAGUUAUUACAAAUUCAGAAAAAUGUAGAAUAGAUUCCGGGGUAGAUCCACAAAGAGAACAAAGGAAGUUAUUACAAAUUCCAAGUCGAGCAAGUUUGUUGGACAUUAGGAGGCGACGGUGCAGGUGCGAAAGUUUCUAACAAAAGUAUUUAGUACAAGGCAAGACUGGAAGCUUCUACAAAUGACGGCACCCAUCACCAUUGUCCACAUAUUUACCUGAGAGCUUGCACCAUUUCUUGUUUACUUGUUGAAGAGAAUCGAGUUCACCCUGGAAAGUAAGCUAACAUCACUCCUUCGCCCGGAAAGUCAAAGAAUAGAAUUGAGGAACCCCUUGUUGCUUGAAAUUAAAGAAAUUCAAGAGAUACACAUAUAGAAUUGAGUAAAAACACACUAGAAACUAGAAUAUUGAAUAGAAUUUAGUGCACAACUUGUAGAAGCACAGUAAUAACACUCCGAAACUAACGCACCAAGGCUAACGCACCUUACUGGAGUUUCCAAGGGAAAAGCAAGAAGUUAUAAGCCGAUUUGGUGGAAGCAAUGCCUCUCUGGUUUCUGAAAUAAAAAAUGAUAACAUGGGUGAAGAGAUAAAUCAAUGUUACAAAUUCUAUUUGUCAAUAUUGAACCAAAAGCAGUAUCCUUGGUCUCAUUGGCCAUUGUUUGUAAAACUUGAAACAUUACAGUUAUUUAAAAAUUCAUUACAAAUAAUAAAUGUAGUCUUACAAGAGUGUUUUUGUCAUGCUUAACAAAGUUAUACUGAACUUGUGGUCAGAUUUUGUGAUAAUCUAAAUAUAGUGAAGACUGUCUUAUAGUAAAAAGAAUAUUUUAUUUUUUGCUGUUGCAUAUCUUGUGUUAUUUUGUGGAGAUGUUAUUUCUAAGAGUAUUUCUGUGGUCAACUGUUUGCUGAAAUUUUGAUUGCCUAUUUGCCAACAGUAGUACCAAAUAAUGCAUUCAAUUUCUAGAGACAAUUGUUUCCUGUUUAUAGGAAAAAUGAUUAGUCCUUGAUGUUGACAUGGCAUGAGGUCCAUAACGAUGAGAAAAUAGACUACUCGUCAGGGCACUAAUUGUUGAAAGUUGAAACAUACGAAACAACACAAUUAGCAUUCCUGGUUGCCUUUGCCACUGAGUAGAUUGUUAGAAAAAGAACCAAGCUAUCUUGUUCCUUGUUUUCUUUAUUUGUAGUAUUUUUUUUACUCAAAUGACCUUUUAUAUGUUGGUGGUGCCGAUCUUCUCUGAAUUAUGAAAACCGCUUAUUAACCUUUACUGUGUGGCUGAAUCCUUUUGUCAGUUUGUGUGAUCCGUUUACGGUUGCCUUACCUGCAGUGGAGUGAAAUCAGAAAGACAAACAGUAACCUGCCUGUGAUGGGGAGAAAAAUUGUUGAUAGCAAGGAGGAACUCGAUGCUGGUGCAGAAGAUGAUGAUGUCGACAAUGUUGGGGAGUCUGAGGGUGAUGAGUUUGAGCAAGAAACUGGUUGAUGUAUUCCAAGGUAUGCAGUUCCCUUUGUGCAUCCUCUUGAUAGUCUUCAAAUUUCUAAUUAUCGUAUUCUAUAUGCUUGAUCAUUUAGCCGUUCUGCUUUUCUCAAUGUACUUUGGAAUUUUGUCAAAUGUUGUUUGCAUAUUUUCCAAUUUAUGAAUUGUUUCCACUUAAGGAUUUUGUUAACUUUGAUCUUUGUCAAUUGAUCUACCAUUGUCUGCAUGGUAAGGCACAUGUCGAGUUGAUGCUGGUCAUGUUGCUUUAACAGAUAUGCAUACGUUUUAAACAUGAAGCCAGAUUCAUUUUUCUAUAUAAAUCAGUCUUAGACUCAAAUCAAAGAAUAUCUGAAUCCGAGUUAAUUGGGUUGGGUAGGUGAAGGUACCCCAAAAAUAAAAAGACAAGACUUGUUAUUUGCCUAUAGAUUGAUGAUAGAGAAGCCAUCUGCAUCCUAUUUCUGAUACUUAUUUUUGUAUCAAAAUCCGAUUAAAGAGUACCUGACUGUGACUCGCUACCAUGCAGAGGGUGUCAUCCUGAUCCGCAUACAGCCCAUAGGAUAUAAUUGAAUGGUGGGUCAGCUAUUGCGGAGGAGAUUCUCAUUUGAUAGGGCACUUCUUUGGAUAAGGGUUGGUAGCCGAAUCAAGUUUUGUUUACUUGUGUCAUAUAGGAAUGCGAUUAGGUUCCUCUACUCUUUGCUUUUCCUUGAAAUAGUUUUGUUGCCCGUACAUACUGGACUUUUUGAUCCCAUACUCUGCACCACGCUAUGGCUUGGAGAUCAAGCAUAGGAUUGGUAGCUGUAACUGCUGAUAUCAUUAAUAGCUUUCCAAAAAGCACAGAAAGAUUUCAGUAUCGAUCUCAUGAACUUUCUCCAUUGUUGGAUUCCUUUUGGUUGGUGGAAUGGAUUUCCUUCAGAGAUCCGAAGUUCGAUGGUGCAGCGUUUGCAAUCUGCACUGGAGCUUUCUCAUGCCCAUGUGGAAUCAAUUAGGUCACUUCCAUCAUUCCAUGGCCUCCUAACUUGAGUCAGUGAUCAACCUAGCUUUUGUACUGUAUAUAUAAAAAGAUAUAGAGCAUCUGAACCUUAGUGGGCAUACUAAAUAUUCGAAGGGCCCAUGGCCAUGUGGUAAGCUUUAAAUAUCGAAUGAAUCUGGCCUCCAAGUAGAAGCUAGAGUGAUCUUUUGAUACUCCAACAAAAAAUGAACGGAAAACCCCUUGUUUUAGCAUGUUUUAUCCUUUCAUGUCUUGGAAAUAGCACAGUUUUGCCCCUCUAAAUUCUAAUAUAGCAUAUAUAUUCCUUCAAAUAUUUAGAUAUUAAGAAUAUAUCUCUUUGUUCAAGUCUUUUUCAUCAUUUGGUGAUCUACAUUUGUAACUCUAGUACUGAUCACCAAAUCAUAUAAAAAAAUCUUAUAAUUACACUAAAAGCUGUCCUAUAUUACAUCAAGUUGCACCCUUUAAUCUCAUAAACUUGUGAGUAUAAAAUUUUGUAUAUAAAGUGAAGGGAGACUAAUAAUUUUAGGGUAUGACAAAAUAACAACUGGGAGGAAAAAAAAACUAGGUAAUUUUUUUGGGAAUCUUAUUGAUUCCAGGAUAUUCCCUUCUUUCUUGCAACUUGGUGGUCCUUUCCCUGGAGAUUUGAGCCAGAGGAAGCCCCAUGUGCAAGCAACUUGAUGAACUCUCCACCAGUUGAGAAGAAAAGGACUAUAAAUAAUAACUAUUGUGGACCUACCAAUCCCAUGGGAUGAGAGGAGUCAGAGUGCUCCAGGAAUCAAGAUGAGUAAGCCAAAAGCCUAAAUCACUGUAUAAAUAUAAUUCCUUUUCCACCCUAAUUAAACUUAGAGAUAGUAGAUGCGUUACAUCAGCCAAUAAACAAGUACCCAAAUAGUUCCUCAGUCAUAUGAGCAUUUCUGAUGAUUUGCUUAUUAAUUGAUGUCAAAAUUCUGUACAUAAAGUGGUGUACAUUGACUAUGGACUUCUGUGUCUGACCUUGAAAUCACAUUAUGUAUUGUGCUGGGAAACUUUCUAGUUCUCACAAGAAUCUGGUUAGAACAAGGAUUUUCCUGAAAAUAAAUAUUGAUGUGGUAUCCAGGGAAGCCAACAAGUGUAUUCACUUGUUGACAUCAUAGAAGUUCCCAAAAUCUGGAGGCACUGAGGAUGUAUUUGUUUUGUAAAGUGAUACAAAUUAUUUUUUCUUGGAAAAAAAAGAACUUUAGAGGAAUUGGAAAAUGAUUUAAAGUUGGGUAGAAAAAAAAGAUUUCCCUGAAAAUAAGUAUGAUCCCAAAGGUAUAGGAAUUAUCAUAUUACUUGAAUUUGGAUUCGAUUAACUGUCUAGCAUUUGAACUUUAAACACAAAAUUCGACUCAUUGCUAUUUCUCUAUCUUAGAUGUAUGAAUCCGAUUUUAGGGAGUCGUACAUGAAGACGGAAUCUGAGUCUUAUAUAUUUACGAGUUGAUGUGGUGAAUGAGUGGAUUUCUAUUCAGAGCCACAGUGCACUCGUCCGGUCUAGCAACACAUCAUAAAGCAUGGGAACGAAGUGGAGAACAGACUGUGUCCUCCGUAACACCAGCAGUCUGCGCCAUGGACAUGUCACGUGGCGUAGGACGGGAAGAGCCACAGGCAUCGGUGCCUGCAUCUGGCAGGGGGGAUGUGAUAUCUCGGACGGUCGGGCAGUAACAUCGGGCCCACCUGCCGGCCCAACCUGACGCGUCGCACGGGUGAAGCCCCACCACCGCCAACCGGGAUAAGGAGAUAAGAGGCCACGGUGCUCUCCGCACCUCAAAAUAAACUAAAGGACACCAUUAAAUACAUAAGAGGCAAACAAUAAAGAGGGAGGAAAAAAAAAAGGGGGGGGGAUAAAGGAAGACUGGCACGCAAUUGGUCGGAUCCUAAGAAGAAGGAAAGGAGAUAACGUUGGCAGUAGGCUUCUGUAUGCCACCACGAUCUCCAUCUUCCAUGGUAGAAGGCGGCCAAACAACCGGAGGUGACCCCAUGGAUUCCUGAUCACAUGAUGGCCGGUCGAUUCUUGUUCACAUGGUGGUCUGUGGAGUGUUCUGGAUUAAGUGAUCUCCUCGCUGUUACGAUGUCCUCGACGAAUAUUACCUCUGGAGAGUUCUUCCUUUCGUAAUGAUUACUUACACGUGGCUUAUGCUCAUUGACUGGGUCGCAUGUCCGGACGAUCAAACGUAUAUAGUGUUCAUUGACUGUAAACACUUACCACUCUAAUUUAUUACCCAAUUUUUAGACUUAAAUCCCGGUUGAUAUUUUCAUUUCCUCGGUGUUUGGUAGAUGGGAAGGCAACAUGUAUAUUUCAAAUCAAAAUAAAACGACCGGUAAUGAAGUGGGAAGACAGCUACCAGAGGAAUCUGUGAACCUAAAGUAACCCCUACUUGAGUUCUACCAAAUGGAAUCUCUGACCUUUCCCAAGUCUUGGCCUGUUUUCUUGUGAACGAUACCAAUCUCUCUUCAUGAAUAUUUCAUUUCAAAACCUAUUUAAAUUUAUAUAUGGAGAGAGAGAGAGAGAGAGAGAGAGAGAAAAGAAAGGAUUGGUCCGACGCAAAGGCAAAUAGACAGCCUGGUCCACGCCGUAAGAUAUGACCAAAGCAAGGUUGGGGGGCGUUUGGGACAGUAUGACAACCACAUAAAACCCAUUUGAUCUCUCUGUCACGGGCCCACUGCGUGACCCUUUGCCGUCGUUUCCCUCGCGGCCCAAAUAAUAUCCGCAGUCCUUUUACCAUUUACUAGUGGAUGAAUGGCUGCUGCUGCCUUAAACGUCAAGACUACUUUUUGAUAUUUUUCUUUCAAUUAACACUCGACAUCACUUAGUUUUUAAAUUUGUUUCCUUAAUUGAGUAUUUUUUAAAAUAUAAAUAAUUUUAUUAUAUCAUAUUUAAAUUCAAAUCUGAGAUACAUCAUUUUAUAUAAUAAUAUAUUAUAUUUUAUUUAAAAUAUUUGAUGUUAAUUAUUGUUAUAAGUUGUAAAAUAAAAAAAUUAUAGAUAAAUUUUAGUGAAAAUUAAAUAUGUGAAGGUGUUGAUAUUUAUUUUAAAAUCUGUGAGCUCAAAUACUUUAUUUCUCUUUUUUUUAAUUACCCGGAUAAAUAUUAAAAAGCCAAACGCUUCGCCUUCCCUUCCGUCCUAUAAAUGAAGGGACGAGGGUGCCUAAGUUAAGGCUUGAAGCCGCCUCCAAAGCACUUCGUCCUCUCUUCCCUCGUCCUCCCUCUCUUCUCUUACCUGCCAAUAGAAUCACCUUAUAACGAGUCAACAGAACAAGGAAGAGUGAGGCAAGCGAAGAGGGGAAGUGGAAGCGUAGAAGGCAAUGGUGGGCGCCUUGUCAUCGUCCUCCUCCUCGUGCGCCUCCUUCGGCUCCUUCGAGGAAGACGUCACCGCCGCCGCCAAGCCCUUCCCCGGCGCCGCCUCCGUCAAGUUCCUCUGCAGCUACGGCGGCAGGAUUCUCCCCCGCUACCCCGAUGGCAAGCUCCGCUACGUCGGCGGCGACACCCGCGUUCUCUCCGUCGACCGAUCUGUCCCCUUCUCAGGUGCUCCCUCCCUCCCUUUGUUCCUUGUUUCGUUUACGAUCGCGAGGAGAAGAGAUGUGAGAACGGGUGGGGUUUGGAUGGUGGACAGAGUUGCGGGAGAAGAUGAGGGAGCUGUGCGGGUGGGGCGCGGUGAGCGUCCGGUGCCAGCUGCCGACGGAGGACCUCGACGCCCUCGUCUCCGUCAAGUCCGACGAGGACCUCACCAACGUGGUGGAGGAGUACGAUCUCGCCGGGCGCGAGAAGAUCAGGGCCUUUCUGUUCCCCCCCUCCAACAAAGGCGGCGGCGAGAGCCCUACCCAUCGGGCCACGCCGAUCUCGGUGGCGGUGCCCGCUGAGCGCUGCGUCCACCAGAUCUCCGCGCCGGCGAGGCCCGCCGGCCGGUUCGAGAAGCCCCCCGCCGCCGGGGAUCUUCGCCACCACGGCCACGGACACCACCACCACCUCCACGGCCGUCAUGCGGCCCCCAGGCCGUGCAACUACCUCGUGCACCACGGAAGCCACUGGCAAUGAUACAAUCACCACCACCACCAUCGCCAGUGUUUUUGGGCGAAGAACUCGAGGUAAAGCAAUGGAACGAAACAGAGAUUGAUCUUUGUGAACUGACGACGACGGACUGUAUCAAUCUCGCUUGUCUUCAAUACAAUAAAUCUAUUGAAAAAUCCAAAAAAAACCACAAAAAACCCUUAACAAGAGUUCUUGAUCUAUUCUACUUCUUCUUCUUCUGCUGCCGUUGCUGUGUGACUCGCCUUCGUUUCGUGUUCCUUCCUCCCCAUUCGAUCGAGUCGCACGUGUGUCCUCUUCAUUCAAAACAGUCUCGCACGUGUGUGUUCCGUCAGGUCUCCGUCUUCCUCGUCUCUCCUUGGUCGCGUUUAUUAUGUUCCUUUGUCCCAUUUCGUGUCCGUUAGCUCCGUUUGUUUAUCGUCAGCUGAAACGUUUCUUUUGCUCAUUCCUAUUCGUUAAUAUGCUACUGAUUCCUUUUUCCUUUGUCUUCACGUCGCAGGUUACUUUACGGCGGAGGGAACCCUUUUCUUCAGGGGACCGAAUAAUUUUUUAUCAGGAAAUACAAAGAAAAUCUAAUUAUUAUUAUUUUAUGAAGAUAAAAAUAUACAAAUUCUUCAUAUUUUAUUUUUUUUCUACAACAUUCUUACCCAAUUGGACCUCUUUUUUUUUGUGUUCAUCCUAAGGUAAGUUGAUGAAACCAAUAUAUAUAUAUAUAUAUAUAUAUAUAUAAUUUUUUGAUGAAACCAAAAUUAUAUACAUAUAUAAUUUUUUCGAUAGUUUUCAUUAUUUUUACAAGCUUUGUUGUGGUUUAAAACUCUUUUUUCAUAGUUUUAGCUGGAAAAUCUUUUGCAACUUUUUGUUCUUUCUAGUUCAUAAUAUAUCUUCUGGAAUUUGUUCUUUCUAGUUCAUGAUUGCUAGUGAAUGAGCAGAGAUCCCUUGACCAGUGUGCCAAGUUCUCAUCUUUUUUGGCCUUUUCCACUCCUUACAAGGUGGGAAGAGAUGGUGAGAUGUGAUAUGGACUUUUAGUUCCGAUUGAGGCCAAGCCUGCCUAAGCUUUAGAUAUGUGAAAUCAACUCUUGUGCUGCUAAAUGACUUAAACCUCCAACUCAAGUUUGAUCCGACCUUUAAUUCUCCUCAAAUUUUUGUCCCCUUCCUACUUUUUAGAGCUGUAGAAUGAUGAACUCUUGCUUCCCCCAUUUCUUGUGAAUCACUUCAAGAGUUCCUCAUCUUUCUAGACACUGUGAAACAUGGAGAGGAGAGAAAUGCUAAAAAAAGUGCCCCAUUCAUCACUUAUCACUCCUUUUUUCGUUGAUCUAUUUGCAUAUAGCUUCUCAAAUGGACUCUUACAAUUUUUUUUUCAGAUAUUUUAUAAAAUUCAAGUAUUUGGCAAUACUUCAGUAAGCAGUUUCUCUAAGAAAUCAAGCAUUUCUUUUAGGAGAAUAAGUUAUUUCUCUACCAUUUUGAGAAGUAGGUCUCUGUAUUGGUAUUUUUGCUUAUUAUUAUUAUUAUAUCUAUAAUAAAUUUUAAUGAACUUUCCAAAGUGUUUCCCUCGGAUGACCAAUUUGUAACUACAAAAUGAGUUUUUAUGAGACCCAAAAAAAUGUAAAUGGGAAUAUAUAUGUCUUGACCUUCUUAGAAUUUUUGUUUUUGUGAUUGUUCUUUUUGACAUUUCAAAAUUUAGUCUAUCUUUGUUUCAAGUUUUUGUUUUUUCAAUAAUGCUUUAAAUGAUGAUGAUAUUUUGGGUUAGUGAGUGAGUUGAAUUGGUCAGACUAUCAUAUAUGAUGGUUGGAUACAAAUGCCACUCAAGAUAUUAGUUGAAGCUAAUACAUGACAAUCUUACUCUAUUUUGUCCUUGACAAAACAAGAUUACUGUUUUUUUUUCUCACUCUCUCUGGUACAUCAGAACAAUUUCCAAUAUUUUUACACAUCAAUAUCUAAUUGUUCUUUCUCUUUCCAUGAGCUGCACAUAUUUUUAUGGUAUCAUAAACACAUUUCAUAAUAUGACUCUUUCAAGUUUUCUGAAGCUUUCAUCUCAAUUUCCCAUUCUAAAAGCAAUUUUAGACAGUCUUUUGAUUUAUUAUUUUUUUCAUCUGAUUUUUUAGUUGUCACCAUUAGUAUCCUCUUUGUUUUUUUAUGAUUGUCAAUAUAAGAGGAGAAAUCUAAGAGACACUAAUUUAAUUUAUUCAUCACUAUUCUUCUGAUUUUUCAAAUCUAAUCUCACCUACUUCAAGAUUUGUUAACUAUCAACCUUUAGAAAUAAUGUGUAUAAAUAGGCAUAUGUAAUAUGCAUUGGUAUGUCUGCAAGCUUAAGAGAAAUAAAUAGGAACAUGCGUGCAAAUGAAUCAAAGUGUCUUGAUCAAAUGCAUGGUGGCAAGAUUAUAUUCCCUUAGGAUCAAACAUCAUAUGCUCAAAAUAGGCAAAUGUUUAUCUACUAUGUUU